UGAGGUAUUCUGGUGAGCUAUAUGCGGUAAUUGGUUAGUUCACAGUCAGUAUAUAGUCGCUUUCAAGUCUCAUAUUCGUGUUGAACUUGCCAGGGACCAGUCGUGGACAAGAUCUCAAGAUGAAUUUGAUAGUUUUUGGUACUAUCCUCUUUCUCCUAGCUGCGACGUCUCCCUCAUUACAGAGGAAACCUUGUGGAUAUUUAAGUUAUUUAUGCGGCCCAUGUCGUCCUCCUUGUUGUAGGGGGUUUCAAUGCAUAAGAAAAGGAGGAUUCUACUUCUGCAUUGACCAGUGGGGAGAUCAACCACUCUGAUUAUGUGUUUCAGAAUCGCGGCUCAAGAUUUACUACAAGGAUGACAUAAAGACAUCUUCUAUAACUACAUAUCCAAACUAUAUUACAUGAAUAUUGUAUUGAGCUGCGACUAAAUGUUGAUAUAAAAGUAAAGGUAAAAAAACAUAAA